rnacentral:rRNA from 1 species
UACGUAGGGACCAAGCGUUGUUCGGAUUUACUGGGCGUAAAGGGCGCGUAGGCGGCUUAACAAGUCACUUGUGAAAUCUCCGGGCUUAACUCGGAACGGCCAAGUGAAACUGUCAAGCUAGAGUGCAGAAGGGGCAAUCGGAAUUCUUGGUGUAGCGGUGAAAUGCGUAGAUAUCAAGAGGAACACCUGAGGUGAAGACCGGUUGCUGGGCUGACACUGACGCUGAGGCGCGAAAGCCAGGGGAGCAAACGGG